GAUGAACGCUGGCGGCGUGCUUAACACAUGCAAGUCGAACGGGGUUAAGGGAAAUUUUCGGAUGGAACUUAACUUAGUGGCGGACGGGUGAGUAACGCGUGGAUAACCUGCCUCACACUGGGGGAUAGCAGCUGGAAACGGCUGGUAAUACCGCAUAAGACCACAGCGCCGCAUGGUGCAGGGGUAAAAGAUUUAUCGGUGUGAGAUGGAUCCGCGUCUGAUUAGCUAGUUGGUGAGGUAACGGCUCACCAAGGCGACGAUCAGUAGCCGGUCUGAGAGGAUGAACGGCCACAUUGGGACUGAGAUACGGCCCAG
rnacentral:rRNA from 1 species